AUUGAACGCUGGCGGCAGGCUUAACACAUGCAAGUCGAGCGGAGAUGAGGUGCUUGCACCUUAUCUUAGCGGCGGACGGGUGAGUAAUGCUUAGGAAUCUGCCUAUUAGUGGGGGACAACAUUCCGAAAGGAAUGCUAAUACCGCAUACGUCCUACGGGAGAAAGCAGGGGAUCUUCGGACCUUGCGCUAAUAGAUGAGCCUAAGUCGGAUUAGCUAGUUGGUGGGGUAAGGGCCUACCAAGCCGACGAUCUGUAGCGGGUCUGAGAGGAUGAUCCGCCACACUGGGACUGAGACACGGCCCAGACUCCUACGGGAGGCAGCAGUGGGGAAUAUUGGACAAUGGGGGGAACCCUGAUCCAGCCAUGCCGCGUGUGUGAAGAAGGCCUUAUGGUUGUAAAGCACUUUAAGCGAGGAGGAGGCUACUGAGACUAAUACUCUUGGAUAGUGGACGUUACUCGCAGAAUAAGCACCGGCUAACUCUGUGCCAGCCGCCGCAGUAACAC
rnacentral:rRNA from 1 species